GACGAACGCUGGCGGCGUGCUUAACACAUGCAAGUCGAACGGAAAGGCCCUGCUUUUUGGGGGUGCUCGAGUGGCGAACGGGUGAGUAACACGUGAGUAACCUGCCCUUUUCUUUGGGAUAACUUCAGGAAACUGGGGCUAAUACCGGAUAGGAUCUCCUGCUGCAUGGUGGGGGUUGGAAAGUUUCGGCGGUUGGGGAUGGACUCGCGGCUUAUCAGCUUGUUGGUGGGGUAGUGGCUUACCAAGGCUUUGACGGGUAGCCGGCCUGAGAGGGUGACCGGCCACAUUGGGACUGAGAUACGGCCCAGACUCCUACGGGAGGCAGCAGUGGGGAAUAUUGCACAAUGGGCGGAAGCCUGAUGCAGCAACGCCGCGUGCGGGAUGACGGCCUUCGGGUUGUAAACCGCUUUCGCCUGUGACGAAGCGUGAGUGACGGUAAUGGGUAAAGAAGCACCGGCUAACUACGUG
rnacentral:rRNA from 1 species